rnacentral:rRNA from 1 species
UUGUCUCAAAGAUUAAGCCAUGCAUGUCUCAGUACAAGCCAAAUUAAGGUGAAACCGCGAAAGGCUCAUUAAAUCAGUUAUGGUUCCUUAGAUCGUACCCACAUUUACUUGGAUAACUGUGGUAAUUCUAGAGCUAAUACAUGCAAACAGAGCUCCAACCGGAAACGGAAGGAGCGCUUUUAUUAGAUCAAAACCAAUCGGUGGCGGUUCGUCCGUCAUCGUACAACUUGGUGACUCUGAAUAACUUUAAGCUGAUCGCACGGUCUCGCACCGGCGACGCAUCUUUCAAAUGUCUGCCUUAUCAACUGUCGAUGGUAGGUUCUGCGCCUACCAUGGUUGUAACGGGUAACGGAGAAUCAGGGUUCGAUUCCGGAGAGGGAGCCUGAGAAACGGCUACCACAUCCAAGGAAGGCAGCAGGCGCGCAAAUUACCCACUCCCGGCACGGGGAGGUAGUGACGAAAAAUAACGAUACGGGACUCAUCCGAGGCCCCGUAAUCGGAAUGAGUACACUCUAAACCCUUUAACGAGGAUCAAUUGGAGGGCAAGUCUGGUGCCAGCAGCCGCGGUAAUUCCAGCUCCAAUAGCGUAUAUUAAAGUUGUUGCGGUUAAAAAGCUCGUAGUCGAAUUUGUGUCUCGCGCCGCCGGUUCAUCGUUCGCGGUGUUAACUGGCGUGCCGCGAGACGUCCUGCCGGUGGGCUUAGCUCGUGAGGGCGGCCCAAAUCAAUCCCGCCGCGGUGCUCUUCAUUGAGUGUCGAGGUGGGCCGGCACGUUUACUUUGAACAAAUUAGAGUGCUUAAAGCAGGCUAAAACUUCGCCUGAAUACUGUGUGCAUGGAAUAAUAGAAUAGGACCUCGGUUCUAUUUUGUUGGUUUUCGGAACCCCGAGGUAAUGAUUAAUAGGAACGGAUGGGGGCAUUCGUAUUGCGACGUUAGAGGUGAAAUUCUUGGAUCGUCGCAAGACGGACAGAAGCGAAAGCAUUUGCCAAAAACGUUUUCAUUGAUCAAGAACGAAAGUUAGAGGUUCGAAGGCGAUCAGAUACCGCCCUAGUUCUAACCAUAAACGAUGCCAGCUAGCGAUCCGCCGACGUUCCUCCGAUGACUCGGCGGGCAGCUUCCGGGAAACCAAAGCUUUUGGGUUCCGGGGGAAGUAUGGUUGCAAAGCUGAAACUUAAAGGAAUUGACGGAAGGGCACCACCAGGAGUGGAGCCUGCGGCUUAAUU